CACGUAUUUAGCCGGUGCUUCUUAGUCAGGUACCGUCAUUGUUCUUCCCUGCUGAUAGGGCUUUACAUACCGAAAUACUCCUUCACCCACGCGGCGUCGCUGCAUCAGGGUCCCCCCAUUGUGCAAUAUUCCCCACUGCUGCCUCCCGUAGGAGUUUGGGCCGUGUCUCAGUCCCAAUGUGGCCGGUUGCCCUCUCAGGCCGGCUACUGAUCGUCGGUUUGGUGGGCCGUUACCCCGCCAACUGCCUAAUCAGACGCGGGCCCAUCCCAUACCGCGAAAGCUUUCCAUCCAGGGGCAUGCGCCCCCGCAUGUGCAUGCGGUAUUAGCAGCCGUUUCCGGCUGUUAUCCCCCUGUAUGGGGCAGGUUACCCACGCGUUACUCACCCGUCCGCCACUCAGUCACGCGGCCUUCCACCCCGGAGGGCUUCCGUCCCCGUGCUUCGUUCGACUUGCAUGUGUUAAGCACGCCGCCAGCGUUCAUCCUGAGCCAGGAUCAAACUCU
rnacentral:rRNA from 1 species